rnacentral:rRNA from 1 species
AACGAACGCUGGCGGCAUGCCUAACACAUGCAAGUCGAACGAGACCUUCGGGUCUAGUGGCGCACGGGUGCGUAACGCGUGGGAACCUGCCCUUAGGUUCGGAAUAACUCCCCGAAAGGGGUGCUAAUACCGGAUAAUGUCUUCGGACCAAAGAUUUAUCGCCUUUGGAUGGGCCCGCGUUGGAUUAGCUAGUUGGUAGGGUAAAAGCCUACCAAGGCGACGAUCCAUAGCUGGUCUGAGAGGAUGAGCAGCCACACUGGGACUGAGACACGGCCCAGACUCCUACGGGAGGCGGCAGUGGGGAAUAUUGGACAAUGGGCGAAAGCCUGAUCCAGCAAUGCCGCGUGAGUGAUGAAGGCCUUAGGGUUGUAAAGCUCUUUUACCCGGGAUGAUAAUGACAGUACCGGGAGAAUAAGCUCCGGCUAACUCCGUG